GAAAUUCGGAUUAAUACCCCAUAACAUUAUGAUGUCGCCUGGCAUUAUAAUUAAAACUCCGGUGGUUAAAGAUGGGCAUGCGUGACAUUAGUUAGUUGGUGAGGUAACGGCUCACCAAGACUACGAUGUCUAGGGGUUCUGAGAGGAUGAUCCCCCACACUGGUACUGAGACACGGACCAGACUCCUACGGGAGGCAGCAGUAAGGAAUAUUGGUCAAUGGGCGCAAGCCUGAACCAGCCAUGCCGCGUGCAGGAAGACGGCCUUAUGGGUUGUAAACUGCUUUUAUAUAGGAAUAAACCCCCAUUCGUGAAUGGGGCUGAAGGUACUAUACGAAUAAGCACCGGCUAACUCCGUGCCAGCAGCCGCGGUAAUACGGAGGGUGCAAGCGUUAUCCGGAUUUAUUGGGUUUUAAAGGGUGCGCAGGCGGACCUAUUAGUCAGUGGUGAAAAUCCCNGGGGCUCAACUCCGGAACUGCCAAU
rnacentral:rRNA from 1 species